AGAGUUUGAUCAUGGCUCAGAACGAACGCUGGCGGCAGGCUUAACACAUGCAAGUCGAACGCAUCCUUCGGGGUGAGUGGCAGACGGGUGAGUAACACGUGGGAACGUACCUUUCGGUUCGGGAUAACCCAGGGAAACUUGGGCUAAUACCGGAUACGUCCUUAGGGAGAAAGAUUUAUUGCCGAGAGAUCGGCCCGCGUCUGAUUAGCUAGUUGGUGAGGUAAAGGCUCCCAAGGCGACGAUCAGUAGCUGGUCUGAGAGGAUGAUCAGCCACACUGGGACUGAGACACGGCCCAGACUCCUACGGGAGGCAGCAGUGGGGAAUAUUGGACAAUGGGCGCAAGCCUGAUCCAGCCAUGCCGCGUGAGUGAUGAAGGCCUUAGGGUUGUAAAGCUCUUUCGGCGGGGACGAUAAUGACGGUACCCGCAGAAGAAGCCCCGGCUAACUUCGUGCCAGCAGCCGCGGUAAUACGAAGGGGGCUAGCGUUGUUCGGAAUCACUGGGCGUAAAGGGCGCGUAGGCGGCUUUAUAAGUCGGGGGUGAAAGCCUGUGGCUCAACCACAGAAUUGCCUUCGAUACUGUAUGGCUUGAGACCGGAAGAGGUAAGUGGAACUGCGAGUGUAGAGGUGAAAUUCGUAGAUAUUCGCAAGAACACCAGUGGCGAAGGCGGCUUACUGGUCCGGUUCUGACGCUGAGGCGCGAAAGCGUGGGGAGCAAACAGGAUUAGAUACCCUAGUAGUCC
rnacentral:rRNA from 1 species